GGGCCCGUAGCUCAGCUAGGUAGAGCGCUCGGCUCAUAACCGAGUGGUCCGGGGUUCAAGUCCCCGCGGGCCCA
rnacentral:tRNA from 7 species